rnacentral:rRNA from 1 species
CCUACGGGGGGCAGCAGUGGGGAAUAUUGGACAAUGGGGGGAACCCUGAUCCAGCCAUGCCGCGUGUGUGAAGAAGGCCUUUUGGUUGUAAAGCACUUUAAGCGAGGAGGAGGCUUACCUGGUUAAUACCUGGGAUAAGUGGACGUUACUCGCAGAAUAAGCACCGGCUAACUCUGUGCCAGCAGCCGCGGUAAUACAGAGGGUGCAAGCGUUAAUCGGAUUUACUGGGCGUAAAGCGCGCGUAGGUGGCUAAUUAAGUCAAAUGUGAAAUCCCCGAGCUUAACUUGGGAAUUGCAUUCGAUACUGGUUAGCUAGAGUAUGGGAGAGGAUGGUAGAAUUCCAGGUGUAGCGGUGAAAUGCGUAGAGAUCUGGAGGAAUACCGAUGGCGAAGGCAGCCAUCUGGCCUAAUAC